CCUGUCACAGACGGCAAGCAUAUUAAAAGUGGUACUAUUCAAACUAUUACUUCAUUUGAUCGAAGAUUUUCAGAGAUUGUUUUCAGAAAUCCUUUACUUCAUUUGUUUUUAACAUGCUUUUUGCUACAUAAGACCUCAUUAGUUAGAGCUUGUAGUUUAUUAUUGCUGUCGUUGUCUAUAACAGAUGACAGCCGUCUAUAACAGGUUAAGGGUGUACAUUCGGAGCUCAAGUUUUAAAAAUGUAGAAUUCGUACA